GCAAGUAUCCUCGCCCCAGUGAGAAUGCCCUCUAUCUCCACAAGGAUCAAAAGGUGCAGGUAUUAAGUACGCUCUUUCUUGAGCAGCUCAUGACACCUUGCUAUACCACACCCCCACGGGACACAGCAGUGAUUAAAAUUGAGAUAUGAACGAAAGUUUGACUGAGUCAUACUAAUACUUAGGGUUGGUAAAUUUCGUGCCAGCCACCGCGGUCAUACGAUUAACCCUAGUUAAUAAAGCACGGCGUAAAGCGUGAUAAAGGAAUAAUCUAAAGAUAAGAUUAAGCUCUAACUAAGCUGUAAAAAGCCUUAGUUAAAAUAAAAAUAUAAAACGAAAGUGGUCUUAUAACUCCUGACUUCACGAUAGCUAAGGCCCAAACUGGGAUUAGAUACCCCACUAUGCUUAGCCCUAAACAUAAAUAUUCAACUAACAAGAAUAUUCGCCAGAGAACUACUAGCCACUGCUUAAAACUCAAAGGACUUGGCGGUGCUUUAUAUCCCCCUAGAGGAGCCUGUUCUGUAAUCGAUAAACCCCGUUAAACCUCACCACUCUUUGCAAUGUCAGCCUAUAUACCGCCAUCUUCAGCAAACCCUAACAAGGCAUCAUAGUAAGCAUAAUAAUUCUACAUAAAAACGUUAGGUCAAGGUGUAGCCUAUAGAGUGGGAAGAAAUGGGCUACAUUUUCUAUUUCUCCUAGAACACUUCACGACAGCAGUUAUGAAACAUGACUAGCCUAAGGCGGAUUUAGUAGUAAGUUGGGAAUAGAGUGCCCAACUG
rnacentral:rRNA from 1 species